AUUGAACGCUGGCGGCAUGCCUAACACAUGCAAGUCGAACGAGUGGCGGACGGGCGAGCAAUGCUUGGGAACCUAGCUUAUGGAUGGGGAUAACUACGGGAAACUGUAGCUAAAACCGCGUACCAUAGGAUGAGCCCAAGUGGGAUUAGGUAGUUGGUGAGGUAAAGGCUCACCAAGCCGACGAUCUCUAGCUGGUCUGAGAGGCUGACCAGCCACACUGGGACUGAGACACGGCCCAGACUCCUACGGGAGGCAGCAGUGGGGAAUAUUGCGCAAUGGGGGAAACCUGACGCAGCCAUGCCGCGUGAGUGAAGAAGGCCUUCGGGUUGUAAAGCUCUUUCGGUAGCGAGGCGGUAACUAAAGAAGAAGCACCGGCUAACUCCGUGCCAGCAGCCGCGGUAAUUC
rnacentral:rRNA from 1 species